UGUUGAGUGCGUGAACCACGGGUGGGCCUCGGUCUCCGUGGGCACGAUGGACCCAUUGAGAGAAGCGGCACGCACGUAGGAGGCACUGUGCCGUGGCGGGCCUCGAGGGAGAAGAUCUGGCUCGAGGUGGCAGGACACCCAGAAGUCCGGGCUGCUGUGAGGUCGAGGCCCCAGGGAAGGUUGGGAUCAGGGUUUUCCUGGAAACUCCAGAGCGGUGGUAGUGGAGCACGCUAGUAAUCCCAGGUCUAAGUCUCGGGGUGGGGGGUUGCCGAGGCAGGAGGAUCACAAGUUGAACCCCAUUUUUGGACAUUCAGCAAUUUAGGGAGGACCCCCCCCCACACACACACACAAUAGAGUCAAAUGUGAUGUGACAUGAUCCAGUACAAUACAGCCUGGGCAUAUAGCUCAGUGCGAAGGACCUGGGUUCAAUUCCCCGUCAGGCCACCAAGCAACAAACAAAAAAAGACUGACACUGUAGUAAUCACACUCCCAGGCAGAAUGGAAAGCCUGAAAAUAGUUCCUGGUGAGCAAGGAAGGGGAGUGGAAAUUAGUCUUUCCCUUCUGCAGUUGGGCUGAGCAUGGUCCGCUCAGGUCUCGUGUAAAUCACUCAGGAGCCUCGAUGGUGUGAGUACUCUUAGCAGAGACCAGGACCAGAGUGAGUUUCAUUCUCUGUCUCCGUGGGACACGACUCCAGCGUUCCAUAACAAGAACGCCCCUGUAAAGAGGUCACUUAGGAAGCUGCGCAGGGACGUGUAAAGCAUAUAGGAAUGCCUUCAGUGCGCGCUAGAGAAAGCCAGUUCUCAUCUGUAACAAAUCUCUGCUUCACGGUGUUGGGAAGAGGAGUCCUGCCCACCCUGCGCAUUCCUGCUUCAUGUCCACUUCACCUGGCUUUUUCUCCAUUACCAUUUAGCAUCCUGUGGCAUAGACACAGAUGUACAGACACGCGGGUAUAUAGACGUGUUCACAAAUACGUGUUUUAUUGUUUGUUUUCCAUCUUCACGGUUGAGAUUUUGUCUGGUGCUCUAUGGUGCUCAUUCUCUG
rnacentral:lncRNA from 1 species